AACGAACGCUGGCGGCAGGCCUAACACAUGCAAGUCGAGCGAAGCCUUCGGGCUUAGCGGCGGACGGGUGAGUAACGCGUGGGAACGUGCCCUUUGGUACGGAAUAGCCCCGGGAAACUGGGAGUAAUACCGUAUGUGGUCGAGAGACGAAAGAUUUAUCGCCAAAGGAUCGGCCCGCGUUGGAUUAGGUAGUUGGUGGGGUGAUGGCCUACCAAGCCGACGAUCCAUAGCUGGUUUGAGAGGAUGAUCAGCCACACUGGGACUGAGACACGGCCCAGACUCCUACGGGAGGCAGCAGUGGGGAAUCUUAGACAAUGGGGGAAACCCUGAUCUAGCCAUGCCGCGUGAUCGAUGAAGGCCUUAGGGUUGUAAAGAUCUUUCAGUGGGGAAGAUAAUGACUGUAUCCACAGAAGAAGCCCCGGCUAACUCCGUGCCAGCCGCCGCAGUAAAAC
rnacentral:rRNA from 1 species